GGGGGGGGCAAGCGUUGUUCGGAAUUACUGGGCGUAAAGGGCUCGUAGGCGGCCAACUAAGUCGGACGUGAAAUCCCUCGGCUUAACCGGGGAACUGCGUCCGAUACUGGAUGGCUUGAGUUUGGGAGAGGGAUGCGGAAUUCCAGGUGUAGCGGUGAAAUGCGUAGAUAUCUGGAGGAACACCGGUGGCGAAGGCGGCAUCCUGGACCAACACUGACGCUGAUGAGCGAAAGCCAGGGGAGCAAACGGGAUUAGAUACCCCGGUAGUCCUGGCCCUAAACGAUGAAUGCUUGGUGUGACGGGUAUCGAUCCCUGUCGUGCCGAAGCUAACGCAUUAAGCAUUCCGCCUGGGGAGUACGGUCGCAAGGCUGAA
rnacentral:rRNA from 1 species